rnacentral:rRNA from 1 species
CUAUCCUACGGGAGGCAGCAGUGGGGAAUAUUGUCACAAUGGGCGCAAGCCUGAUGCAGCCAUGCCGCGUGUAUGAAGAAGGCCUUCGGGUUGUAAAGUACUUUCAGCAGUGAGGAAGGUGGGUAUGUUAAUAGCAUACUCAUUUGACGUUAGCUGCAGAAGAAGCACCGGCUAACUCCGUGCCAGCAGCCGCGGUAAUACGGAGGGUGCGAGCGUUAAUCGGAAUUACUGGGCGUAAAGCGCAUGCAGGUGGUUUGUUAAGUCAGAUGUGAAAGCCCGGGGCUCAACCUCGGAAUUGCAUUUGAAACUGGACAAACUAGAGUACUGUAGAGGGGGUAGAAUUUCAGGUGUAGCGGUGAAAUGCGUAGAGAUCUGAAGGAAUACCGGUGGCGAAGGCGGCCCCCUGGACAGAUACUGACACUCAGAUGCGAAAGCGUGGGGAGCAAACAGGAUUAGAUACCCUGGUAG